AGGGGGAGGCCGGGUCCUGGGCCGUUUCCCUGGAGCCCUGUGCUCCCGGGCCUGCGCUGUUGGAUUUGCGCUCCCGGUCUCGCAGCCGCCU
rnacentral:pre_miRNA from 1 species